rnacentral:rRNA from 1 species
UAAUACAGAGGGUGCGAGCGUUGUCCGGAAUCACUGGGCGUAAAGGGCGCGUAGGUGGCGGCCCAAGUCGAUGGUGAAAGCUCGCCGCUCAACGGCGAGUCGGCCACCGAUACUGGGUUGCUGGAGCACUGUAGAGGCAGAUGGAAUUCCGGGUGUAGCGGUGGAAUGCGUAGAGAUCCGGAAGAACACCGGUGGCGAAGGCGGUCUGCUGGGCAGUUGCUGACACUGAGGCGCGACAGCGUGGGGAGCAAACAGG